rnacentral:lncRNA from 1 species
AGUCAUCAAGCAAGGUGGGGAGGUCUCUGGUGGGAAGGGAGCGCGCCGUAAUAUGGAAGAGGUGGGACAGCGUCUGUGUGGACAGCAUCGAUGUGGACAGCAUCUAUGUGGACAGCUACCGGCUAUUCGAGAGGAGUCAAAACACAGACAUGGCUUGGGACCAACCAUACAGGCAACUCUGGAGCUUCGUGGGAAAGGAUUGAAGAGCUCCCAGACCGAAUGCAUAUGCCCAAGUAGGUGACACAUCUUCCAGGGUCCCUUCCUCAGUGGCUUGGCUUCAAAACUAUACCAACAACCAGAGUCCUUCUCCUCAGCCGUUCUGCCCAAGUUCCACCAAGUUUCUGUUGCCUCACAGGCCCUGGGUCUGAGGUUGAGCCUACAGAAAUAUGCUGAGCUCGGCCCGGCCCCCUAAUAAAAUCACCAUUUAGCAGUG